GCACAACGCGAAGAACCUUACCACCUUUUGACAUGCCUGGACCGCCACAGAGAUGUGGCUUUCCCUUCGGGGACUGGGACACAGGUGCUGCAUGGCUGUCGUCAGCUCGUGUCGUGAGAUGUUGGGUUAAGUCCCGCAACGAGCGCAACCCUCGCCAUUAGUUGCCAUCAUUCAGUUGGGAACUCUAAUGGGACUGCCGGUGCUAAGCCGGAGGAAGGUGGGGAUGACGUCAAGUCCUCAUGGCCCUUACAGGGUGGGCUACACACGUGCUACAAUGGCGACUACAGAGGGUUAAUCCUUAAAAGUCGUCUCAGUUCGGAUUGUCCUCUGCAACUCGAGGCAUGAAGUUGGAAUCGCUAGUAAUCGCGGAUCAGCAUGUCGCGGUGAAUACGUUCCCGGGUCUUGUACACACCG
rnacentral:rRNA from 1 species